UACGGGGGGGGCAAGCGUUGUUCGGAAUUACUGGGCGUAAAGGGCUCGUAGGUGGCCAACUAAGUCAGACGUGAAAUCCCCAGGCUCAACUUGGGAACUGCGUCUGAUACUGGAUGGCUUGAAUUCGGGAGAGGGAUGCAGAAUUCCACGUGUAGCGGUGAAAUGCGUAGAGAUGUGGAGGAACACCAGUGGCGAAGGCGACUUUCUGGGCUGUAACUGACGCUGAGGCGCGAAAGCGUGGGGAGCAAACAGG
rnacentral:rRNA from 1 species